AAGAUGGCGGAGGGGCAGGUCCUAGUGCUGGAUGGCCAAGGCCAUCUCCUGGGCCGCCUGGCGGCCACUGUGGCCAAACUCAUACUGCUGGGCCGCAAGGUGGUGGUUGUGCGCUGUGAGGGCAUCAACAUUUCUGGAAAUUUCUACAGAAACAAGUUGAAGUACCUGGCCUUCCUCUGCAAGAGGAUGAAUACCAACCCAUCCCGGGCCGUACCACUUCCCGGCCCCCAGUCUCAUCUUCUGGAGGGCUGUGCGAGGCUUGCUGCCCCACAAGACCAAGCGAGGCCAGGCUGCCCUGGACCGCCUCAAGGUGUUUGAUGGGGUUCCACCACCCUGCGACAAGAAAAAGCGGAUGGUGGUUCCUGCUGCCCUGAAGGUUGUGCGACUGAAGCCAACAAGAAAGUUUGCCUACCUGGGGCGCCUGGCUCACGAGGUCGGCUGGAAGUACCAGGCAGUGACAGCCACCCUGGAGGAGAAGAGAAAGGAGAAAGCCAAGAGCCAUCACCGGAAGAAAAAACAGCUUAUGAGGCUACGAAAACAGGCAGAAAAGAAUGUGGAGAAGAAAAUUAACAAGUUCACAGAGGUCCUCAGGACCAAUGGACUCCUGGUCUGAGCCCAAUAAAGACUGUUUAUGCCUCAAAAAAAAAAAAAAAAAAAAAAAAAAAG